UGGGGAAUAUUGCACAAUGGGGGAAACCCUGAUGCAGCGACGCCGCGUGAGCGAUGAAGUAUUUCGGUAUGUAAAGCUCUAUCAGCAGGGAAGAAGAUGACGGUACCUGACUAAGAAGCCCCGGCUAACUACGUGCCAGCAGCCGCGGUAAUACGUAGGGGGCAAGCGUUAUCCGGAUUUACUGGGUGUAAAGGGAGCGUAGACGGCUGAGCAAGUCAGAAGUGAAAGCCCGGGGCUCAACCCCGGGACUGCUUUUGAAACUGUCCGGCUCGAGUGCAGGAGAGGUAAGCGGAAUUCCUAGUGUAGCGGUGAAAUGCGUAGAUAUUAGGAGGAACACCAGUGGCGAAGGCGGCUUGCCGGACCGUAACUGACGCUGAUGCUCGAAAGUGCGGGUAUCAAACAGGAUUAGAUACCC
rnacentral:rRNA from 1 species